ensembl:lncRNA
UAUAUAUAUAGUAUGUAUAAAUGGUAUAAAUAACCGUAAUAGAAUAAAUAUUGAAAUCCAGGAAGUUCGUUCUUGAGCGUUUCUAGACGUCCUUUUGUUUCAAACACAAAGUAAAAUUUAUAAUUUGACGCCCAAAACCCUGAAACCCGAUAUCUUUAAUUACACUUGCUUUACUGUAGAAAUUGAGAAUGUAAGCUGAGAAUAAAGCUGAGUAUCUGCCCCCCUCACCUCGCUGUACAGCGUCUUGUUCCUCUCAGCCUGCACCAGCUCCGGCGUGUCCCACACAAAGCAGCCGAGGCCCUUCAGCCAUUCCAGGUCCUCCUUGUACUUCACCUGUAGAGGAACCACAACCACCAGCAUUUUACCCAAAUGUCAAUGACCCCGCUUGGCUCCAUCUGCACCGAGGCCGGGGGGUCUGGGGGUCUGGGGGGACUCACGCUGCUGAUAUUGUCGUUGGCGAUCUUGCUGAAGAAGAACUCGGGCCGGUCGGGGAUGGACUUCCACGUCCCCAGAGAGUUGAUGUACUUCUCUCUGUAUUUCACCUGAGGAAGACAAGGAGCACUCAGUGAGAAGACAAAUGGUCUCCAGUGAUUCUAUCUUAAAGAAGCGAUGUGCCGACCUCGCUGAUGUCAUCCGUGACCCUGCGGUGGUACGUGAUGUCCAGGGCGUCCUUCACUGUGUGGUAGUGACCCUUAGAGAGCUCGAAGGUCUCUUUGUAACGCAGCUGCAGACACAGAGAACAAGCAUGUUCUUGUUCACGUAUAUAUUAAACUUUUAUUAUUUCACGUUUGUGGUGUGAAGCAUGUGAAAUCCUGCUUUUGGUGUUGGUGAUGUUUUUUUCAACAUAAUGUCCAAACACUUAAAAUGAAACAUAAAUCAACAACAAAAACCAAAUUCUAAAUGAAUGACUGAGGUCACCAAAUAGUGUGGUUUUAUACCUUUGGAGCACAGUUACUGAGUUAUUGAUCAGGGACUCACGUCACUGGACUGGAGGUAGGCCUUCUUGGCCCGGAUGAGCAGAGGCGUGUCGGCGAUGGCCGUGUACCUGUGCUUCAUCUUCUCGUACUGGUCUUUGUAUUUGUUCUAUGGAGGAGAAGAAACACGUCGUCAACAUGCGCUCUGCUUCCACGAGAGGGGGCGGCGGGGUCGAGUAGGAGAAGGACUCACAUCGCUGCAGACCACCUUCAUCCUCCUGGAGUGGCCCAUGGUCGGGGUGUCCAUCUCUUGGGUGAAGUGAGCUCGCUCCUUGCUGGCCACGUUGGUGUACUGGAACUGUGGGGAGAUGGAAAAAGAACGGUUAGACGGUCGGCUGGGGUGGGAAGGGGGCGCAUCGGAGCGUCAUGUGGAACUUGCGUUGUUGGUCAGCUGCUGGGCCCACUUGGCCCUCAGGAUGUCAACAGAGUCCCCGGUGGUGGAGACCUUCGCCAUCUCCUGCUUGCUCUGGGCCUUGUAGAUCAUCUGCAGACAGAAGAGGGAAGAAGAGACGUCAGACGUGCCGCCAAAUUGGGUUCUUCCUACCCAAGCCGGUGACUCUUGCAUCGCAAAGAUAUUUCACACAGUUUAGUGAUGGUUCUCAAUCAAAUUGCUCCCAAUUUGAAGCCAUUAACUGGACCGAGAAUACGUCAAACAUCACCAAGAAGGACGGAGCCAUUUGCAGCCGCCACUCACGUUGCUCAUGUGGCUCUUCAGCUCCGUCACACGGUUGUACUCCGGCGUGUCGAGGACCACAGAGAAGUUGGCGAGGUUCUUCUUGGCCUCCACCGGGUAGAUCGCCUGUAAAAAAACACAGAAAGGACAGAAAGGGCAAAGAUGAUUGACGUGAUUUAAUAUUUCACCCUUUCAGCCUUUCCUUCAAAGAUAUCUCAGGCCUCUUGUGUUGCUGUGGAGCUUUUUAUGUUUAGAUUGGUCUUCAGUAUGAAAUGAGUCUUGAAUGAGGAUGUAAUAAGGAAUAAGAAUGGAAUGAAGGUAUAAUGAGGAUGGAAUGAUGAUGGAAUGAAGGUGUAAUGAGGGUGUAAUGAGGAUGGGAUGAGGGUGGAAUGAGAAAUGAGGGUGGAAUGAGGAUGGGAUGUGGGUGGAAUGAGGUAUGAGGGUGGAAUGAGGGUGGAAUGAGGUAUGAGGAUGGAAUGAGGAUUGGGUAAGGAAGGAGGAUGGGAUGAGGGUGGAAUGAGGUAUGAGGGUGGAAUGAGGAUGGGAUGAGGGUGGAAUGAGGUAUGAGGGUGGAAUGAGGGUGGAAUGACAUACCCUUUGCUUGGUGAUGUUACGGAUGUGGAUCAUCUCCGGGGUGUCGUACAGGAAGCAGCCGAGUCCCCUCAGCCACGUCAGGUCCUCUUUGUACUUCAGCUAUGAAAUAAAAAGCACAAUGGUGUGAAACAACAUUUUCUUAUCCGGGGUUUUGAAGUGUCCCGUGACCACGUGGGCGUACCUCGCUGGUGAUCUGGUUGACGUGGUAGCAGUGCAUCAGCUGGGGCGUGAUGGGCAGAGAGAUCAGCUGACCUCUGCUGUUGUAGUACUUCUCUCUGUAGCACAGCUGGAGGAGGAGAAAAGGCAGAUGAGAGGAUGCUGAUGCAAGAGGAGGAGCGAGAGAAGUUUUUUAAUUUUUAACUUUAACUUUUAUUCCUUUAAACUAACCCAUAGCCUUAUACUAGUAACCCAUAGCAUUUUAUUUUAUUUUAUUCCUCGUGCACUGUUGUCUUGUCGUCCGUUGUCAUACUGUCUGCCGUCAGGCACCAACCGCCAAGUCAGAUUCCUUGUAUGUCUGACACAUUAUGGCAAUAAAUGAUUCCUGAUUCCUGAGUGAGGGCGGGAAGAGGCGGUUCCUCACCUCGCUCAGGUGCUCCUGGUUCAUCUUCACUUGUUUGAUGUCUGGAGUGUCGUAGAUGCUGUGGAUCUUGUCCUUCUGCUUGUGGUAUUCUUCCCGAUAGAGACGCUGAGAGGAUGGGGGGUAAACGAGAGGGGGUUCUUAGAUCUAAGGGUUCGGAUCACAAUCACAGUUCGUAGCAGUAAAAAAAAUAGUUAAUAAUUACCGCUAAUAAUAAUAAUUGAUGAUUGAUGAUGCAUAUUAACAGAUACAGAUCCCUUUAUUUAUUGAUUAUAGCAGUCGGUCUAUAAGGAUCCACAAAUAUUUGUGUUACAAAUAUACCAAAUGUUAUUAUUUUACUUAUUUAAAAAAUCUAAAAACACAAAAUUCGAAUCAUAUUGAAAUUAAAUAUUGUAUUUUAUUUUAUAUUUUUAUUAUUAAUAAUCUUGUAUAAUAAUGUGUUUAGCUAAUAAAUAUUUCAAUUCUUGUGGAAAUAUUUGAGUUAAACUGGGUUUAAUGGGUAACAUUAAUCUGUGGGGCGGGUCAAUAAGGUUACAUCGCCUCCUCUUACGUUGUUGGUGAUCUUGUUGGCUUUCCUGGAGUUGACAAAGUUGACGCCCUCUGGGUGAAGAGUGUAGGCCUUCGCCUUCAUCAUCUCGUAGGCCUCCUUGUACUUCACCUGCACAGAUCAAAGCCCAGAGUGGACGAUGGUAACAAAAAGCAUCCACGGUGAAAGCAGGAGGCUGGGAGGAUGCUCUCCACUCACGUAGCUGGUGACCACGCUGUUCAUCUUGGCCUGCUUGAUGAGCGGGGUGUCGCUGGGGAGGGAGUAGCCUGUGGGCAUCAGGCUCUUGUUGGCCUCCUUGUACGAGUUCUGAGAGGAGACGGGGGGAGACGGGGUGAGACGGGGUGAGGCGCCUACAUUCCAAAGAGCCUUUUCUUAUUUAACAUCGUAUCUACAGUUCAUUAAAGGCUAGUGUUCAUUCUGUUUGUUUGAGCGUUCUUUCACACGUUUGUUUGUGCUCAUGGAAUCUAAAUCACACAAAGAUAUCAGAGCUGCAGUUUAUCAAAUGUAAAUAUAUUGGUAAACUCCUUUGGCUUUAAAGGUGAAGUGGAAACGCAUUUACAAACAAAUUUGCUCUUUUUCAGCUUAAUAACAAUAAAAAAAAAAAAACAUUAUUGUAAAAUAUACAUUUAUGAUAAUCUUCCUAUCAAGACGAUAUUAGUCUUAUUUAUUGAAUCAUUGUUUGCACUCAUCAUGACGUCUGAAGGACUGAUUAAUUAUGACGCGUGGUUCUCACGUCGCUCUGGAUGUAGUUGGCCAUGCGGGCUCGCUCCGUCUCCAUGGUGACAGCAGGAGCUGUGUUGGUCCCCUUGAUGUUAGUGUUGUAGUCGUAGCGGUAGUGCAGCUGGAACAACAAGCAUGGGAGCUUAGAUAGAGUUUUAUUUGAAUGGUGAGUGAUGGACUCCGUGGAGGAGGAGGCCCACUCACGUCGCUCAGGUUCAGGGAGUUCUGCUUGGAGGUCUCGUACACCGGCGUGUCCGUCACCACCGAGUACUCCUUGAAGGACUCGAUGCCUUUGGCUCGGUACUUGUUCUGGAACAAAAACACACGAUGUGGAUCAGAGGGGAGAACGCUUAGGGCGGAGCAGCGGAGGGGGGGGCGGGGCCGAGCGCUCACCUCGCUCUGAAGGUCACCGGCGUGCUUCACCCGGAUGAUCUCCGGCGUGUCCGCGGCGUAGCAGCCGAUUCCCCUCAGCCAGUUCAGGUCGUCCUUGUAGAUGAUCUGGGGAGGGAGAGACCUCAGGUCACUUUGGAGGGCGGGUCCACAUGGGAGAAGACAAACAUCUAAAGGCUGCUUUAAUGUCAGAUGUUUGUCUUCUUUAUAUUAUGUCUUUAUUCUUAUAUUAUCUUCAUGUGGGAACUUUUUAAUUUUGCUGAUAAAUCAAAUAGUUUACAAGCUAUUCGACCGUUGCAGGAUUUGUACACAGAGAAUGAAGCCGUUCAUUAAUAUAAAAUAUGAGUUCACUGUUAUGUAAUAUUUGUGAACGUGGUCGAUUUAGCUCAACAUUUCUUCAUAUUUACAGAUUAAAAAAAACAGAGAAGCACCAAUAAACUUUUCUCUUGGCAUAAAAUCCCAUUUCACUCGUUGAUUCUUAAGAAUUAAACAUCGUGUCUUCUCUCAUUUGUGCCGGUUUAGAGGCUCCAAAAGAUACUCAAACCUUCUGCGAAUCCUUUUCACAUAUUGCUAAACAUAAAACGUCUGUGGUCACAUGAUGCAGUUGAAAUGUUACAACGAUACCUUACAUUGCAUCAGACGCUUUAACACAGCUACUACAUGCCAGUUGAAAAAGGAUGCAGGGACACUCACGUCGCUGAGCUGCUCGUUGACCUUGCGGGCCUGCGUGUACACCUGCAUGUCGGGGAGGCAGAUCCACUGGUGCAGGUACUUGCGGUAGUGGAUCCCGCUGACUGUGGACUGGGUGUUGCGGGCCGAGAGGAUCUCCAGCAUGUCCGGCGGGAUGUGGUUCUUAGCCUUGGUCUUCUCGUAGUCCUCCCGGUAGAGCCGCUGUGGAGAGACGGAGGACACGCCCCCACCCACCGGGUGUCAUUUCUCCCGUCACCACUCAACGUUAACGGUGAGAAACGCAGCGAGAAUUCGACUCACGUCCAGGACCAGCUUCCCGGCUUUGACGCAGCGGGCGGUGGCGGGGUCGUCCUCCAGAGACUUGGGUAGACUGUAGAGGGACUUGAACUUCUCGUAGUCCUCCUUGUACUUCACCUAGAAAGCAAGGGGGGGGGGGGGGGGCCCGGGAUUCAAACUGGGGGACUUCUAACUGGGGAAGCGUGUCGUUGACGUGGACCCGGUCAUACUCCCCCCCCUGAGGAUGACCUUCUGCUGCUUGGCGUGCUGCAAAACGUGCAAAUUUUGAGGGAUCUGGUAGCUCUUGGCUUUGACUUUGUCCCAUGCGGCGCUGUACUCUUUCUGUGAACGGGUGGGGGGAGGGGGGGGGCACACAACGUCAUUGCCCGUUCAACAAGCCUUCGAAAGCUCUACGACCUGGAUGGAAGGAGAGAACUCACCUUGCUGAAGAAGUGCUUGAAGUUGACGCAUCGGGCGUAGUCGUACGUAUCCAACACGGUGGUGUACAGGUGCUUCUCCUUGUGAUACGCCUCCUUGUAGUUCAGCUGUGGACAUCAAAAAGGAGGGAGGGGGUUGAAUCAACGCACGCCAUCGGGUGUUUUUUGACUGCAGGGUUGCGUAUUUGUGUUUUUCUGAACUCACGUCGCUGGCCCAGGUGUGACCCAGGACGGCGGUCACGUAGGCCGGUGUGUCCGUCACGAUGGAGUAAUUGUUGAACUCCUUCUUGGCCUCAUUUCUGUAUUUGAGCUGAGAGGGAAGAAGAAUGAUGAGAAGAUGAUCGUACAAAUAUAUGUUUGAAUAUGAAGAACGCUGGCGGCGUUUCUCACUUCACUCUGCAGCUCGUAGGAUUUCUUGGCUCGGACGAUCUCCGGCGUGUCCCAGACGAAGCAACCCAUCCCCUUCAUCCAGUUCAGGUCGUCCUUGUAGAAGACCUGAAGGACAACAGCAACAUUAAAGGACAUCUUGUCUGGUCUGCUUUACUGAUGGAGGUCUGUGGAGGAUCGGGAGCAGGAGAUGAGCCCUGAAGGAGAACCUACAUCACUGAGGAUCUCAUUGGUCUUGCGGGCUCGGAUGACAUCCUCCUGGUCGGGGUGACAUGUCCACUGGUGCAGGUAUGUGCGGUAGAGGACGUCGCUUAGCAUGUCCUGGCAACGCUUAGCGACCUGGUUGGCGAUGAUGUCUGGUGGGAGGUGGGUCUUGGUCUUGGUGUGGUUGUAGUCUUUUGUGUAGACCCUCUGUGAAGACAUUCAGACCACGGGGAGCUGAUGACAUCAUCAUUACUAAUGUGUUACAAACUGGCCUAAAAUGACAUUUUAGAAGAAUGUAAAUAAUCUCUGGUGAUAAAGUUUCUAAUUGUUUCUAUAUAGUCUGUCUGAGACGAAUACAGGAGUAUUCAGUACAGUAAUCGGGGAUGUCUUACCAGUCCCUUGUUCUUCUCCUGCUCUCCACAGCGCAUCACUUCGGGGAAGUCCACCAGCGUCCCGGCCAUGUAGUGACCCUUGGCCUUCUCGUGCAAAUCCUUGUACUUGACCUGGUAGGAUCCAGAAUAACAACCGUCGUUGUUUACAUUCUGCCAGAAUAAAAUCAGGACUUCUUCUAAUUGGCAUGGACAAGAAGGGGCUCACAUCGCUGAUGAUCUCCCGGCCCUUCUUGCCGCUGAGCAGUGGGAUGUACUGGUGGUUCAGCUGGUAGCCGGUAGCCUUCGACUCGUCCCAUUGCUGCUUGUAGAGUUUCUGAAAUCCCAAGGGCACACAGUGUAAAACCAAAGCUCAGAUGUAUGACAUCAUACAAAUGAAUACAUUUAAACAAUUAAAUGCUUUGCAUUACCUCACUGAUGUUCUUGGACGCCUCCCUACUGUGAGCCAGUUGAGGGGUGUCUUCUGAACCGAUAUAUUGACCCUUCUCUGCAUUGAAUGUCUCCUUGUACUUCAGCUGUGGCAGAGGACAACAACAUAGUUGUGUUUAUUCCCAAGCUACUUGAAAUGAAGAAGUCAGAAUCAGAUGCUUUACAUUUAACAUACAUCACUGAGGUUUGCAGCGUUUAUCUUUGCCAAGACGAUCUCAGGACGGUCCGCUACAUGGGUGAAUUUUGAGAAGCAGUCUUUGGCAUGUUUCUUGUAGUGCCUCUGCAAUGACAAACACACAGGAUGGAGGUGAGACACAAACACCUGGUACGAAAGUAAGGGGGGAAAUCGUGCUAAAAGACUGAAUGCAAUGCAGUUUACCCACCUCGUUGAUGAUCUCCUGGGCCUUCCUGACCUUGACGUGGUCAACAGAUUCAGCUGCUAUCCAGCCGCAGCCGCGAAUCCAUUCCAUAUCCGCCUUAUACACAUUCUGUAGACAGAAAGCAAGAUAUCAAGACAUGAUUGAUGGUGGUUUCUAUGUUUUCAUGUCACAUAAAUAGGCAUAACCCUCAUUAUAGAUUUAUGAGUCACCAAAGAUGCAGCUGCAAAGUGCCGGAGAGGGUUUUUCCACCUUAAAUGAGAGUUUGCCCAAAGAGAGCAACCUAAGUUGAUGAUGAAAUCAACAUCACUGGAGGUUGUUCUACUACAGCGUGCUUUCCUUCUGCCCUCGUAGAUAAGACAGUGUCCUCCAAUUCACAGAGCUCACCCAACAUGGUCAUUCCUCCUCUGAAGUAGUUACUGCACUAAAAUGUCAUGUUUUACUUGUGGUCUUUAGUUGUUCACACGAGUUCUGCACUGGAAUUUUUUGUGAGACACAAUACUUUUGUUUGCAGAUCAAUUUCUCUCCAUGCAGGAGAAAUAUUUAGGUCCUAAUCACCCAAAUAUCACAAAGUAGACGUUUUUUGCGAAACUAACUAAUGGUUAAAAAAAGCCUGCAUGAAUGUGCCAGCGGCGUCCUGGGAUGAGCACUCACAUCACUCUGAAGGUCGUAGGCUUUGCGGGCCUGGAUGACAUCACUGGAGUCCGGCAUACAGGUCCAGUUGUGCAGGCGGGUUCUGUAGAUGUUGUCAUUGACUUGAAUCUGGCACUUCUUGGCCAGUUCGAACUGCAGCAUGUCCACCGGCAGGUUGAACUUGGUCUUGGACUUGUUGAAGUCCUUCUUGUACAGGGCGUCGCUGGCGAUCCGGGCGGAGUUCAGGGCCAGCAUGAUCAGAGGGUCGUCACGGACGCUGAGGGCUCCGAUGUGGUGGCCCACCUGCUUACGGUAACUCUCGAGGUACUUAUGCUGCGGGACGGACAGAAAUGUUCAGUGCAACGAUUCUAAUCAACAUGGUUAUUGGGGUGAAAACGAGUUCGUCCCAGAUACUCACUUGACUCUGAACUUUACUGGUCUGGAUGCACUGCUUGAUUGGGACGGCGUCUCCGGGCAUGAAGUAGCCCGUGGCUUUGACCUUAUCCCAAGCUUUGGUGUACAGUUUCUGCAAGAGGUGGAAAUCGUUAUACAGGUGGCUCACAACGUAACGCUUACUCAGUAAAGGACAAAGAACUGUUGACUCGUCGAGGAGUUGGUCUCACCGGGUGAAGGUUCUUCGCCACCUCUCUGGCUGUGGCGAGAACCGGUGUGUCGGAGGACGUGAACUUGGUCUUGUCGUUGUGCCAGGCCUCGCGAUAUUUAACCUGUGCAGAGCGAUAAAUCAACAUUCAGUUAGUCAGUCAGAAAGAAAACUCCAAUCUGUCACCAGGACAUUAAAUGUUUUAGCGCCCUGCAAUUUUUUAAUUCGAUUCUCUGUAUUAUGUUUAUUUCUGUUACUGCUCUUUGGUUGUCUUAACUCAAGACAUUUCUAAUGGAUAACAGUUCUGUUUAGGAAACUGUGUAUACUUUAAAAAUAACUAUUUGAUUUAGAAUCCCCAUAGAGAUGAAUGAAAUGCUCCCAUAUAUGAAAGCUUUGGUGACCCAUAGUGGGGGAUCUGGACCCAUUGGACUCAAACGAACAAAUCCAAAUCGACCUGGGAUCAGCAGAGUUUCCUGCUCACCUCGUCGAGGACUGCAGCCGCAUUCUUGGCACGAACCAUGUCGAUUCUGUCAGUUUUGACAGUGAAUUUCUGAUCAUCCAACUUGACACGGUAGCCUCUCUAAAGAAACAAAAACCAGACAGGAGAAUAAUACAUCUCAUUUAAUUAACACCAGCAUUUGGGGGAAAUUCUAUAUUUAAAAGAUAUCUAUCUACAUCCAUAUCUACUGUGUAUACAUUUCUGACUAAUAGGAAAUACGAAUUGUAGUUAGACUUACAUCAGCAAGGACCUUCUGGGCAUGUUUGACCUUCACGACAUCCACAGACUCAUGUGGUAUCCAUCCACACCCACGUAUCCACUCCAUAUCAGCUUUGUACACAGCCUGAGGAAGCAAAGCAGACACAGUUUACGUGAUGAAUAGUAACAAUGUAUUAUGUAUUAUGGGCAUAAUAUCCUUAGAUCUACAAGUGCUGCUGUUAACCUACAUCGCUCUGCAGGUCGUAGGCCUUUCUGGCCUGGACCACGUCGGUGGAGUCCGGCAGGCAGGUCCAUUGGUGCAGAUAAGUUCUGUAGUUAAAGUCGUUGACUUGGAUCUGGCACUUUUUGGCCAGCUCAAUAUUCAACAUGUCCACCGGCAGGUUGAACUUGGUCUUGGACUUGUUGAAGUCCUUCUUGUACAGGGCGUCGCUGGCGAUCUUGGCCGAGUUGAGAGCCAGCAUGAUCAGAGGGUCGUCCUGGACGCAGCGAGCCCCGAUGUGGUGGCCCACCUGCUUACGGUACCCUGCGUGGUACUUGUACUAAAAAGAGAUAAAAGAAUGAAUGAGAAUGGGAAAAACAUGAAGAAGUGUCUCUGUAUUUGAACCUCAUCCAGAGUCCUUUGCUUACGUCACUAAUGAUAUCUCUGGAAGCUCUAGCCUUCAGCACCGAGAUGGCGUCCUCCUUGAGGUGGUAGCCUUUGGCCUUCUGCGCGUCCCAUGCCUUUGUGUACAGUGUCUGCACACAGCAAGAAAAUAUGAUCAAAAUAACUCGAAUACAAAGGGCAUCACCAGCAGAUGACCCGCAGAUGACAAUCUGUACUAUGUACAUACUACAAGCAGCGUUACGUAGAGUCUUACGAGUUCCACCAUCUGCAGAACUCAUGCAGAUCUUGUAAGGACGCCAACUUACGUUGCUGAUGCUGAUAGCGUUGGCUUUGGACAGAACGAAGCCGGGUGCGUCAGACGGCAGGCGGAAGGAGAGCUUCUCGUUAUCCCAGACUUCUCUGUACUUCCACUGUUAGAAGGAUACAAAGCAAAAACUGUGUAUCUAUUUAUUAUUUAUAACGACCUGUGUACACAACACUGCUUUUAAAGUUGUUAUUACUAACAUCACUGAUGUUGUGGGCAUUCUGCUUGGACAACACAAUCGCUGGGAGGUCGACCACGCUGGUGAACUUCACGGUGCUCGGGGGCUGGCGGUAGAGCCGCUCAUUGAUGAUGGCCUGAGCAUUUCUAGCUUUGACCACGUCCACGGAGUCUUGUGGGGACCAGCCGCAUCCCCUCAGCCACUCCAUAUCGGCUUUAUACACGGCCUUUAGAAACAGGAAGAAGGUCAAACCCAAAGAAAUACUCUUGCGUUUCGGUACGUUUUGAAUAGCUUAGACCGAGGAUCAUAAGAAACUCCAUGGAUUCGGACACAAGCUCCUUUUAAAGCUCCAUUUAUCUAGUAGAUCAUCGGUUUUGAUCUUUUCAUGCACUCACAUCGCUCUGCAGGUCGUACACCUUCCUGGCCUGAACCACGUCGCUGGAGUCCGGCAGGCAGGUCCACUGGUGCAAGUGGGUCCUGUAGUUGAAGUCGUUCACUUGCUGUUGGCACUUCUUGGCCAGCUCGAUGGUCAGCAUGUCCACCGGCAGGUUGUACUUGGUCUUGGUCUUAUUGAAGUCCUUCUUGUAUAUGUUUUCGCUGGAGAUCUUUGCGGCGUUAGCGGCUAACAUGAUCAGAGGGUCGUCCUGUAUGCUGAGCGCACCAAUGUGGUGGCCGCGCUGCUUGCGAUACCCGGCCUUGUAUUUGUACUGGCAAUUUGGAAAUGAAAGUAUUUUUGUUUAGUUUCACUGAAAAAAAGAACAAAAUUCUUCAGAAGAAAAUAGGUUCACACUUACGUCACUGACGAUGUCUCGAGAGGCCUUAGCUGAUAAAACAGAAAUUGCAUCUUUGGGAAGGUAGUAGCCUUUGUUUAUGGUGUCCUGGUAGCCUUCACGAUAUUGUUUCUGGGGAAAUGGAAAGAUUCAGUUACGGCAUCUGAUAUAUACACCAUGAUACAAAAUGCCAAGGGAUCUUGGAUUAAAAGGUCAACAAUGAUAUGUCAAUGUGAUUCAUUCAAACUUUAGCAGAAUCAACAACUUGACUUAUGAUCAUCUUCAAUGAUUGGUUGUAUGGCUACAUGACGGGGCAGUGCGUUACCUGACUGGUAUUGAUUUUGUUCUGCUUGGCCAGGAUGAUUUCUGGGGUGUCACACUUGAUGUGGAGGUUGAGCUUGUCGUUCUCCCAGGCAGAAGUAUACGCUUUCUGGAAACAGCAAAUUAAUGAGGUACAUAAACGUUUUAUACGGACAUAAGAAAGAAAGAAAAGUAACAUAAAUGGUGUCUCCUUCUGGAGUCUUCAACACAUGCUCUUUUGAUUGGCAGCAUCACUAACUUGAUGGCUCAAGCGGGAGGGACGGGGGAGGUGGAGGGUUAAACCAAACAAUUUUCUUGAGCAUUCAUUACAAAUGUGUGACAAAUGUUCCAUCAAAACACCACCAGAUGAAUAAAAUGCAUUAAAAUAAUAUUGUAUACUACCUUGUCCAUGGUUUGGGCAUUUGUUUGAGCGAGGACAUACGGCAUGUCACUUGUCUUGGCAGUGAAUUUGAAGCGGCUGGGAUGCUGACGGUACUUGAUUUCGCUCAGAAUCUCGGACGCCUUUUUGGCUUUUUCCACAUCGACUGAACCGAUUGGCACCCAGCCUGUUCCCCUGAUCCAUUCCAUGUCGGCUUUGUAAACAGCCUACAAAUGAUGGGACACACAUUGAAUCCCCUUUUUGAAAGGAGCAACAUCAUUGAAGUUUUCAACAAAACACAGUGAAAGUAAUUGUUAUUCUCACGUUGCUCUGCAGGUCGUAGGCCUUUCUAGCCUGCACCACGUCGUUGGAGUCCGGCAGGCAGGUCCAGUUGUGCAGAUGAGUUCUGUAGUUGAAGUCAUUGACUUGGACCUGGCACUUCUUGGCCAGCUCAAUAUUCAACAUGUCCACCGGCAGAUUGAACUUGGUCUUGGACUUGUUGAAGUCCUUCUUGUACAGGGCAUCGCUGGCAAUUUUGGCAGAGUUCAUAGCGAGAACGAUCAGAGGGUCGUCAUGGACACUGAGGGCCCCGAUGUGGUGGCCCACCUGCUUACGGUACCCUGCGUGGUACUUGUACUGUGUCGAGAUAAAAGAGUGAAGAGAUGAGUAACAGAACAUGCUAAUAAAGGCACACAUCACUAUUUCAGGGAAUUCUUUAAUGGGUGACGCACAUCACUGAUGAUUUCUCUUCCACGUUUGGCAGCAACGAUAGAGACAGCGUCGGACUUGAUGUCGUAGCCCUUCCUGAACAUCUCCUCAACACCUUCCCUGUAUAGUUUCUGGAAGAGAUAGGAUAGAAGUUAGAUUAUAAUGAAGAAAUUCAAACAUAACACAGAUAUUUUAAUGUAUGAUUCCACAAACAGGUCCAAAGUACCUUGCUAAUGUUGUAAGCGUUAGCUUUGGAGAGCACAAUCUCGGGUAAAUCGGGGAUUAUAUGGUUCUUGACUUUGUCAGCCUCCCAAGCAGCAGUGUAGUGUUUCUGUGGUGAGAAACACAAAAAGAAGACACAAAUUGUGAACCCCAGGAAGAGAUGGAACAAAAGUGCCAAGAUUGCAUCUGAGUGAUGUGACAUUCUUGACCUUGUUGAUGAUUUCAGCAUUUGCUUUGGCCAAGACCAUUGGAAGCGAAGUCAUAUCAGUUGUAAACUUCUGUGUGUCUGGUUUCAACUUGUAGAGAUGGUCGCUGAGAAUUCUACCGGCGUUCUUGGCCUUCAACACACCAAGCGAACCAAUGGGGACCCAUCCUACGCCCACGAUAUCCUCUAGGUCGGCUUUGUAUACAGCCUGUUGGGGAAACAAGUAUUUAAAAAUUAGGCUUGGUCGAUUAAAGGCAUGUUGACAUAUGUCAAAUGUGUAAGACCAGGGCUCACGUCGCUCUGAAGAUUGUAGGCCUUUCUGGCCUGCACAACAUCAUUGGAGUCCGGCAAGCAGGUCCACUGGUGCAGGCGGGUGAUGUAGUUGGCGUGGUUGACUUGGAUCUGGCACUUCUUGGCCAGCUCAAGGCUCAACAUGUCUACCGGCAGGUUGAACUUUGUCUUGGACUUGUUGAAGUCCUUCUUGUACAGGGCGUCACUGGCGAUCUUGGCUGAGUUGAGAGCCAGCACGAUCAGAGGGUCGUCGUGGACGCUGAGGGCUCCGAUGUGAUGGCCCACCUGUUUACGGUACCCUGCGUGGUACUUGUACUGAUGAUAUCAGCAGAAAGUGUUUAGUCAGAGAUUAAACAACCCCUCACAAAAUGCCUUAUUCCAGUUGGUCAUCAUAGGGCUAUAACAAAUGUAUAUUCUUUUAAUUCAAAGCUUCUAUUGCAGUCUUCAAAUACAGCAUUGAAUAAGCUUUUGAGUAUUUUUUUUGUGUUGUUGUGGUUAUCUACCUUAAAUGAAUGUAUGGUACUGUUAGGGCUAGCCCGCUGUGAUAAUACAGGUGCGUGCAUGAUCCACUUACAUCACUGAUGAUGUCCCUGGAGGCCUUCGCAGCCUUCACGGACACUGCAUCCACGGGGAGGAAAUAUCCUUUGUUGAUAGUGGCCUCAUAGCCUUGUCUGUACAAUUUCUAAAAACCAAAACACACUCUUGUUAGCAGUUUUAACCAAUGGAGGCACUACAUUCUGGAGAGCUUCAGGUUUUCCACAAACCCAAACCCAACCUUGCUCAUGUUGAUAGCGUUCUGCUGAGAGAGGACAAUCUCAGGGGUGUUCGGUUGGAUGUGUAGCUUGGUCUUGUCGUUCUCCCAUGCCUCGGUGUAGAGACGCUGGAAGAAAUCACAAAUGUUUCUUCCGUCACUUGAUGGCAUUGACUCAAAAGAUAUCAGAGAGAGCUCCCCAUUGCAAAGCCGGGUAGUCACUACCUUUCAUUUUACCAAUAAAAUCGAACUCUAACCUUGUUCAUGGUCAAAGCGUUAUUCUUUGCCAGCACGAGGUUCAUGGCCUGCGUGGUGCUGGUAAAGGGAAUAUUGCAGGGGGGCUGGCGGUAUUUCCUUUCGUUCAAAGCAUCUCCAGCCUUUUUGGCUUUCUCCACCUCCAGUGAGCCGAUAGGGACCCAGCCCGUGCCCUGGAGCCACUUCAGGUCAGCUUUGUAGACGGCCUAUGAGGCGCAGGAACGCAACAUUAAAUUACAGCCACUCUUUGCAACGUGAAGAGAAAAUGAAAGAAAAAUAGAAAAAAUUAAAAGAGAAGCUACACUCACAUCGCUCAUUAUUUCAUAAGCAUGUCUAGCCUGGACCACAUCAGUGGAGUCCGGCAGACACGUCCAGUUGUGGAGGCGAGUGAUGUAGUUGGCGUGGUUGACUUGGAUCUGGUUCUUCUUGGCCAGCUCAAAGGCCAGCAUGUCCACCGGCAGGUUGAACUUGGUCUUGGACUUGUUGAAGUCCUUCUUGUACAGGGCGUCGCUGGCGAUCCUGGCCGAGUUGAGAGCCAGCACGAGCAGAGGGUCGUCCUGGACGCAGCGAGCGCCGAUGUGAUGGCCCACCUGCUUACGGUACCCUGCGUGGUACUUGUACUGGAGGACAAAUUAAAUCAAUACAUAGAUUAGUUUGCUGCCGCCCAUUUUGUCUAUUUUCUUUGUUACUAAAAUGAAACACUUACAUCACUGGCGAUGUCAGUAGAAGCUCUGGCUGCUUUAACAGAAAUGGCAUCUUGGCGCAUGUCGUAGCCCUUCUUCUUGGAGUCUUCAUUUGCCUGCUUGUACUUUUUCUGUAAGUAAAUACAAAGCCCCAAACACAUAAGUACAUUGAUUUUCAUUCCAAAAAGGGCUGGGGUAUUAGAUAUGUGUUGAUAGAAUGAAAUCAUCCAUAAAUAAUACAGAAUAUAUUUGAGUCCUAAUUUAAAAAAGCACUUUAGUAAAAAGUGCUAUUUACUAAAUUGUCCAUCCAUCCAUCCAUUCAUUGUCAAACCGCUUAUCCUGCACAGGGUCGCGGGGGGGCUGGAGUCCAUCCCUGCCAACUUCCGGUGAUAGACAGGGUACAUCAUGGACUGAUCGCCAGCCAAUCACAGGGCUACACAGGGACAUACAACCAUUCACACUCACAUUCACACAUCUACGGGCAAUUUAAAGUCCCCAAUCAACCUGAUCCCCAAAGCAUGUCUUUGGACUGUGGGAGGAAGCCGGAGAACCCGGAGAGAACCCACGCAGACACGGGGAGAACAUGCAGACUCCACACAGAAAGGCCUCUGGGCGGAGUGGAACCAGGACCUUCUUGCUGUGAGGCGACAGUGCUAACCACCACACCACCGUGCCGCCCCUUUACUAAAGUGUAUCAUUGUUAUAUUAUUCAUAAAUGAGUGUUAAUUUACUUUUACAUUUUUUAUUCUUACUUACCAAGCUGUAGUUGACAUUGUUGGCUUUGGCUAGAAGAACAUCCAUAGCGUCAGGCAUGAUGUGGACCUUUGACUUCUGUUUCUCCCAGGCUUCAACAUAUGUUUUCUGUUGUCAUAGAAACCAAAGAUACAAAAACCAAAUAUGUCUGUGUACUCUGCAAGUUAGCAUUUUUACGAGAGAAAGGGACAAAAGGUUCAACAGUCAUUUUGUAUCAUUUACAUUUUUAGUUGGAAGAUUUAUACCUUGUUCAUAACCUGAGCGUUGGCCUUCGCCAACACCAUGGGCAUGUCUUCGGUGGUUAUUUUGAAUUUGAAGUUGCUGGGCAGUUGGCGAUACUUUCUCUCAUUCAGGGCCUCGCCAGCUUUCUUGGCCUUCUCAACAUCCAGUGAACCUAUUGGCACCCACCCGAUGCCCUGCAUCAUCUUCUGAUCCUCCUUGUACACAGCCUGGACCAAACAGAAAGGGUUCAUUAUGAAACAAGAGGCUCCACCACUUCAAAAAGGAACAUUCAUAAUUGUGAUAACUUCCUAAAAAAUAAACCUAAGGAUUCAUACUUACAUCGCUCAUAAUUUCAUAAGCAUGUCUGGCUUGGACCACAUCAGUGGAGUCCGGCAGACACGUCCAGUUGUGGAGGCGAGUGAUGUAGUUGGCGUGGUUGACUUGGAUCUGGUUCUUCUUGGCCAGCUCAAAGGCCAUCAUGUCCACCGGCAGGUUGAACUUGGUCUUGGACUUGUUGAAGUCCUUCUUGUACAGGGCAUCACUGGCGAUCUUGGCCGAGUUGAGAGCCAGCACGAGCAGAGGGUCGUCCUGGACGCAGCGAGCGCCGAUGUGAUGGCCCACCUGCUUACGGUACCCUGCGUGGUACUUGUACUGCAAAUGAAGCACAAAGGAACCGAUUAAAACAUUUACAGUUGUUCUAAAGCCAAAAAAUCAUCAGCAGUGUAUGUUUUCUGACGUUGCCUCACAUCAUUUAGUGUACUUUAAGCAUUUAGUUAAUCCCAUUGGUAACAAUACACCACAAAACUAUGGAUACAUUGAUAAUAAAAUCCAAUGCUAUUAAAACUUUGCGUGUGUCCUUUUAACCUUUUUUUCAUAAAAAGUAUUAUUUUUGCUAAUUUUAAUGAGUGGAAAGUAAAUUAUUUUACGUCGCUGGCAAUGUCCCUGGAAGCCCUGGCAGCGAGGAUGGCAAUGGCGUCGUUACGCAGGUCAUAUCCCUUCUUCUUGGCUUCUUCAUUGGCCUGCUUGUACAUGUUCUGUGUAGAAAGGAGAAAAGUACAAAAAGCUUUGAAGCAUCUUUUGGAGAAUUGUGGAGUAACAACAAGCAUGCUGCCUCAGAAGCUAUGACAACAACUUCUCUUAUUUUUAAAAUGAUGGAGAAGGACUCACCAGACUGUAGUUGGAUUUGUUUGCUUUGGCCAGUUGAACGUCCAUGGCAUCGGGCAUGAGAUGAAUGGUGGUUUUAUCUUUCUCCCACGCUUGUAUGUAAGAUUGCUGUAAUAAUAAUAAUAAUAGACUUCAUUUUUAUACCAUCUUUAUCACAAGAAAUGCAGCACAGAGCGUUUUGCAAUAAUAGGCAACAGAUUUAGAAAGUACAUAAAAACAGGAAAAAUGUGACAAGACACUUGAUAUUAUAAUACAAAUAGGAAGGAAACAGAGUUCAAUAGAAUGCAUAGCGUUAAAUGGAAAAUAAAACACACUGAAUAAUAACAUUAUAAAAACUUGUAUUUGCAGCAUGCACACAUAUCAAUUUACACUGCAGCAGCAUGAAAAUGUCUCCAAUCUCUUUUCCAGCUUUUCAUUUAAAUAUGCUUAACAAAGCUCAUACGCGUAUGGGCAAAUGCAAAACUAUAUUGGAUAUUAGUUAUGUCAAUGUGUGAAAUAUUGUACCGCUAAUUAAUUUUCAUGUUUACUUUAUCAUUUCAGUUUAGUCCCAUAUGGGCUUCCAUACCUUUGGUGCUGAAUGUGGUUUGAAUGAAUCAUAUGAGUCAACAUCGCAUUACAAAAAAUAUGAGAGCUAAAAUCAAUGUUGUAACAAAUAGCAUUCUUCAAAAUAUCAUGAAAACAUUUACUUAAAAUCUAAAAGGGCGUUUUAAGUUUCCGGAAAUACCUUGUUCAUAACCUGAGCGUUGGCCUUCGCCAACACCAUGGGCAUGUCUUCGGUGGUCAUUUUGAAUUUGAAGUUGCUGGGCGGUUGGCGAUACUUUCUCUCAUUCAGGGCCUCGCCAGCUUUCUUGGCCUUCUCAACAUCUAGUGAACCUAUUGGCACCCACCCGAUGCCCUGCAUCAUCUUCUGAUCCUCCUUGUACACAGCCUGGACCAAACAGAAAGGGUUCAUUAUGAAACAAGAGGCUCCACCACUUCAAAAAGGAACAUUCAUAAUUGUGAUAACUUCCUAAAAAAUAAACCUAAGGAUUCAUACUUACAUCGCUCAUAAUUUCAUAAGCAUGUCUGGCUUGGACCACAUCAGUGGAGUCCGGCAGACACGUCCAGUUGUGGAGGCGAGUGAUGUAGUUGGCGUGGUUGACUUGGAUCUGGUUCUUCUUGGCCAGCUCAAAGGCCAUCAUGUCCACCGGCAGGUUGAACUUGGUCUUGGACUUGUUGAAGUCCUUCUUGUACAGGGCAUCACUGGCGAUCUUGGCCGAGUUGAGAGCCAGCACGAGCAGAGGGUCGUCCUGGACGCAGCGAGCGCCGAUGUGGUGGCCCACCUGCUUACGGUACCCUGCGUGGUACUUGUACUGGAGAAGUAAUCGUCAAAGUUUCCAUUAUCACGCAAUGUUGAGGGGGUAAAGCAUAAUAAAUGAUAUUCAAAAGGUGGAGUAUUAGAAUAACUACGCAGACACGUACAUCACUAGCUAUAGCUGUGGAGGCUUUGGCAGCUUGGACGGCAAUGGCAUCACCCCGGAGAUUAUGGCCCUUCUUCUUGGACAGCUCAUUGUCCAAUUUAUACAGUUUCUGAAGAGAGGGAGAGAAUAAAAAUAUUUAAUUU